rnacentral:lncRNA from 1 species
AUGGAAAUAUCUCCUGAGAAUACAAGUCACUGGUCCACUUCUGACCCUCUAGUGGCUAGGAUGCGCAGAUGGAAGCUGAGAUUCCCAGGGCUGUGGAGAAGCUCUAGAACAGUGUUGACCAAUAGAACUUCUGCUCUGACGGACACAUGCUGUAUCUGUGUUGUUCAAUACACAGGCACUAGCCACACGUGCGUAUUAAACACUUGGAAUGUAGCUCCUGUGACCGAGGAACUGAAUUUUUAAUUUUAUUUAAUUUUAAAUCAUUUCAAUUUAAAUACCUACAUAUGACUAUUGGCUGCUGUAUGGACAGCACAACUUUAGAGAUUGCUGAACUAACAUUCAAGUGUAAGGCAACAUUAAGACUGAUACGGGGCGAAUUGUGUCUCUCCCUGUUUAUGUUUUGAAGUCCUAACCCCCAGGACCUCAGAAUGCGACUGUAUUUGAAUAUAGGACCUUUGAAAGUAAAAUGAGGUCAUCUGAAUGGGCCCUAAUCCAACGUGACUGGUGUCCCUACAAGAAGAGGACAUUAGGACAUAGGCACACAGAGGGGAAGACCAUAUGGAAACACGUGGAGAAGAUGGCCAUCCACGAGACACGGAGAGAGGCCUCAGAAGAAACCAACCCUGCUGACAUCGUGCUCUUGGACUUCUAGCCUCCAGAGUUGUGAGAAAAUAAAUUUCUGUUGUUUAAACCA